rnacentral:rRNA from 1 species
UACGAAGGGGGCUAGCGUUGUUCGGAAUCACUGGGCGUAAAGGGCGCGUAGGCGGCUUUAUAAGUCGGGGGUGAAAGCCUGUGGCUCAACCACAGAAUUGCCUUCGAUACUGUAGAGCUUGAGACCGGAAGAGGUUGGUGGAACAGCUAGUGUAGAGGUGAAAUUCGUAGAUAUUAGCUAGAACACCAGUGGCGAAGGCGGCCAACUGGUCCGGUACUGACGCUGAGGUGCGAAAGCGUGGGGAGCAAACAGGGAGUUAGAUA